rnacentral:rRNA from 1 species
GUGCUUAACACAUGCAAGUCGAACGAUGAAGCCUAGCUUGCUAGGUGGAUUAGUGGCGCACGGGUGAGUAAUAUAUAGAUAACGUGCCUCUUAGUCUGGGAUAGCCAUUGGAAACGAUGAUUAAUACUGGAUACUCCUUCUCUUUAUAAUAAGAGUUGGGAAAGUUUUUCGCUAAGAGAUCGGUCUAUAUCCCAUCAGCUUGUUGGUAGUGUAAGAGACUACCAAGGCAAUGACGGGUAGCGGGUUUGAGAGGAUGAUCCGCCACACUGGUACUGAGACACGGACCAGACUCCUACGGGAGGCAGCAGUGAGGAAUAUUGCACAAUGGAGGAAACUCUGAUGCAGCAACGCCGCGUGGAGGAUGACGCAUUUCGGUGUGUAAACUCCUUUUAUAGGUCAAGAAAAUGACGGUAGCCUAUGAAUAAGCACCGGCUAACUCCGUGCCAGCAGCCGCGGUAAUACGGAGGGUGCAAGCGUUAUUCGGAAUCACUGGGCGUAAAGGACACGUAGGCGGGAAGCCAAGUCUGAUGUGAAAUCCUACAGCUUAACUGUAGAACUGCAUUGGAAACUGGUUACCUAGAGUAUGGGAGGGGGAGAUGGAAUUAGUGGUGUAGGGGUAAAAUCCGUAGAUAUCACUAGGAAUACCUAAAGCGAAGGCGAUCUCCUGGAACAUUACUGACGCUAAGGUGUGAAAGCGUGGGGAGCAAACGGGAUUAGAUACCCCGGUAGUCCACGCCCUAAACGAUGUUCACUAGUCGUCGGGAUGCUAGUCAUCUCGGUGAUGCACUUAACAGAUUAAGUGAACCGCCUGGGGAGUAC